rnacentral:rRNA from 1 species
GGCGUAAACAAAGGGAAGCGAGACGGUGACGUUAAGCAAAUCCCAGAAAUAACGUCCCAGUUCGGAUUGUAGUCUGCAACCCGACUACAUGAAGCUGGAAUCGCUAGUAAUCGCGAAUCAGAAUGUCGCGGUGAAUACGUUCCCGGGUCUUGUACACACCGCCCGUCACACCAUGGGAGUCGGAAAUGCCCGAAGUCAGUGACCCAACCGUAAGGAGGGAGCUGCCGAAGGUGGAGCCGGUAACUGGGGUGAAGUCGUAACAAGGUAGC